GGACUGAAUCUAAGGCCUCCUGUGUGAGCACUCCCGAUGAAGUCCAUCCCCUGUUCUAGUUUUAAGUUGUCCAGCUGAGCCUUAAAUGCACUCUGAAGUCCAGGCUGGACUGGAACUUCUAACCCUUCUGCCUCAGCCUCCCAAGUAGCUAGAACUACAGGCCUGAAAUUGCAGGACCGCCUUCCUCAAUACUCUGAAAAACAGUUUCUAAUCAAUAUUCCACAUUCAUGAGACUUUUCCUUGUAAAAUCUUAUACCACUCAACUUUCACACUCUUAAAAAAAACUGGCUAAACGAAAUUCAAAGACUUAAAAAAAGAAAAUUCCACUCAGGUAAUAAGGAAGGUGUUGUGAUCUGAGGUGCUCUGAGGUAGGUUGAGGUGUCCUUCACCAGGUAAAUGCGGCCUGUUAGGCUGUAGUCCCGAUGUUUCCGCUUGAGAGAUUUCAUUUUCAUUCUCCUGAAAUAUCAUGCCAUAGCUCCUGCAUUUACUGAAAGAUAGGACACCCUUUCUUUGUGGUGAGCAGCAUGUUCCUCCAGGGUGAAAAUCCAGGGCAUCUGAAAACUUGUUUUCAAAUGUUGUCUAACUGGCUUAACUUGCAGUAGGAGUUUUAUCUAUGUGGUGUGAGGCAGUUACAAAAAUGCAUAAACGCCUCAUUCUAUACAAUGGUCCUUUAAGCAGUAAGUGUUUGAAAUCUUUCAAACACUUGUCCUCCAGGAAGAAAUCAAACAAAACUAAUCUCAAGUUUCUUAUCAAUUUGCAAAGCUAAAGUAUUAAUUUACUAUGUAAAUCAUUGUGCCUCCAUUUGCCUAUUUUAUUAACUUAAUAUUUUCAAGUUCCUUUGAAGCAAUAAUGUUUACUCAAUUUUGUUUAAGUAAUACAUUAAAAUGAAUCAGAUUUUUCCUAUUAUAUUUUUCAUAGGAGAAAGUGAAAAUAUCUGAGUUACACAAUCAGAAAGAAUGAAAAUGAGUCAUGUUAAGGUGCUAAGAAAACUUCAGCCAUCUAGCGCCCUCAAUUUCAUCAUAGGACACCUGCUUUGGAUUCUCAGCCUCUCCAAUGUCAGGGAGAGACUACCAUAAUUGACUUUGAUCCCCCUAGAACUGUAAGCCAAAAAAAAAAAAAAAAUGAGUUCUUUCUUCCAUAAAUUGCUUUUGAUCAUUGUGUUUUAUCACAGCAACAGCACAGCAACUAAUACAGAAGUUGGUACCAGAGUGGACUGAAGCUGUGUAGCACUUGACAGUGGUGCUUUGAGGAGGAAGGUGGAAGACUGUGGAGAUCUGGACAAGAACAGCAGCUGGAUACUUUCGGCAGAACUUAGAAGGUAAUCCUAAGGGAAACCUGAAGGAUAACCAUACUGAGAGCAAUGAGGACUGUGGAGACCCAGAGCAAAAGGUUUCAGAGAGGAACCCAAUCAGCCAUUGGGCUCCAAGCCCUUGUGAUAUUUGGGCAAAGAAACUAAUGGCCCUAGGCUUUGAUCCUAAGAACUUGCCUAAGGGGAAAUUUUUAAAGUAAUAAUAAUUUCUUUGGUGAAUAAAAUGUCAAGACCACAUAACAUUGAGUCUGUGGCAUGGUUUUUAUUGAUAAUGCUUCAGAUCUAUGAUGGAAAAGAGCCAGAAAGACAAAAUGAACAUUUUGGUUUGCUAAGGAGCAUUGGGAAUCUUACUGCCCGCACUGAAAGGGAGGCUAUAAUUGCUCAGGAGUCAAGCAUCAUUAAGGAGAGGCCUGCUCUGCACUGGAAUGUGGUUAACACUCUGCCCAGCUGAGUGAUCCUCUAGAUUCUGAAAGGAAAAAGCCUAAGAGGUUGAUAGCCAAACUUAGCAGGUUUCUCAAUAUGAUGUUAUCUUAGAUGCAUGAAGGAGGCCAAGACUGGAUCAUAGACUCUUCUUCCUGGGUCUCAGGGAGUUGUUGGGGCCAGGAAAUGUGUGGAACAGGGGUCGCUACAUGAAGGCUUUGAGAAGGGAAGAGGCUCUCAGAACACAUUGCAGGAAACUGUGACAGUAAAGCUCUUGCAGUAAAGAUCCUAAAAUUUUGGUGAUUCAGCAGCCAUGGCUUACCUGCUGUGACAACUUAUAUUUUAAUUAUUGUGCCUAGAGAGACCCAUGAAACAAAAAAAUUUCCCUUCCCCAAGGACAGAUACUUCAAAAAUGCUGAGGGCUGUUGUUUAAGGAAGAUAACAAGCCAUAUGUUUUCGCACUCAUAAGCAAAUUUGUUUGACCCAACUGUACCAGAUGAUCACCGGUAGGCAGAGGUAAGUAAAUAGGAAAUAUGUCAAGAUAUAUGCUUGUCCUUGAUUGGACCUUGAUUGGCCUUGUGGGGUUGCCUUUUUAAGCCUCUGCAAGAUGUGAUUCAUCGCCAUUUUCUGGGAACCUGGGAAUGAACCAGGUCAGUGUCCAUCCUCCUGGCCAGCAUUUAAUUAAUGAUUGCUUCAUAUUUGCCUCAAAGAUUGUGGCAGUGGUCUUAUUCCCAACUGGUGAGAUUAACACUGCCAAAGAGAACUGCAUACAGGGGCAGAACCAGUCCAGGAGAGAUAUGUAUGUUACAGGCAGAAAAGGUGGGGGAGUAGAGGUGUCUAAGCCCCUUGACAUCAGAUGUGAAACUACAGGUUUGCUCUUUGCCCUGUUGACUUCUGAUCUUACUUUGACAUAGCAUUCCCAUUUAGAAGGUUGGUGGGUAUUAUUUUCUGGGGCAUUACACAUUGAACAUACGUAAUUUGUGUUUUGAUCUUACAGGGGUUAUAAUUAAGAGAGUUCCUUGAGCCUCGGAAGAGACUUUGAGCCUCUGAGUUUUACACAAUAUUGAGGCUGUGAGAAACAAUGAGGAGUUUUGAAAUCAGAUUAAAGAAACUUUGUGUUAACAUAUGGUUAUGAGCUUAUAGAAGCCAGGGAGUGCAAUGUAGUAUUUUAAAUGAGAAAUGCUUCCAUUAACCUGGGAAUUAGAGCACGUGGCUCCUCCAUAGGUAGCUUUGUUUGGGGGAGGUUUAGAAGGUAUGGUCUUGUUGGAGGACAUGUGUACUAGUAACAAGAGUUGGGAAUAUAUCCCAUCUACUUCCAGUAAGCUGGCUGUCUGCUUCUGCUUCUGGUUAAGAUGUGAUAGCUCAGCUUCCUGUCCCUGCUGCCAUCCCUGCAUCCCCACCGUGAUGGAGUCUUACACCCCUGGUACCACAUGAGAAGGUAAACACUUCCUUCUAUAAAUUGCCUGAGCACUCAGCUAUCUAGCGCACUCAACUUCAUCAUAGGACACCUGCUUUGGUGCCCUACGUGGAGCCCUGGCUGUCCUGGAACUUGCUCUGUAGACCAAACUGGCCUUGAACUCUUCCUUGAGAUCCACCUGCUUCUACUUCCCAAGUUCUGGGGUUAAAGGUGUGCACCUGACCACUGCCUGGUGCGCCUUUGGAAUUUUAUAGAAUGAACUCGCAGGGUUUCCAAACCAAGUGUGGGCAGCAAAUCAACAAAACCGCAUGUGAGCGCUGUGCCUUAUACUUGGUGGUAAAGAUAGAAACUGACCACAUGCCAUUCUGGAUGCUAGAGAAUCUGCUAUCUAAGUGACAGCUGAUUCUGGGCUUUGCAUUCCCAUGUAGCAAACUGCAGCCUAACUUAAGAAUACAUUCUCAUAACAAAUAGCUGAAUGGCAGCCAGUCUCAGCAGCUGUGUGUCUGCCAACCAUAGACUCACCAAGUUAUUUCCCUAUGAUGCAAAUAGCUCACAAAAGGCAAAGCUGAGCUGUGAUUGAUCAAGGGACUUUUUUUUUUCUUUGUCUUUCUACAAUCAACAUCUGCCCACACUAGGGUGUAGGGCUCUCUGAACCUCUGAACCACUAGGGACUCGGAUGCUGCCUUACCAAUGACUCUUUGUUCAAAUAAACUGCUGGGUUUAAUUUAACUUUUUUUCCUUAUAACAAGUUUCUCAUAUGGGCUGGUUUAUUUUCUUUAUAUCCAUAUAGCAGAAAGUUAUGACAUAUCUUUUAUAUGGGCAAUAAUUCCAUUUCAUAGGAACUCCACCCUAAUGUCAUAAUCACUUUCGAAAAGCCCCACGCCCACAUAUUAUUACACAUGUGAUUAGGAUUCACCUUAUAAGGUGACCGAGGGUAGGGAGUACAUAUUUAGACCACAGCGAACAUUUCAUCUUUGCUCAUACACCAGGAAACAUCAGGCAGGAGUCAAACUCUGUACUUUGUAUUAAUCUUUCUUACCCUUAGACCCCACUUCCUGCGAUAUCUUUGAAUUUCACACUAGUUCUCCAGUUUGACGAAACCUGCAUUAUUUCUGGGUUUCCGUUUCAGUUUUGUUCGUAUAGAUGAUUGUGAAUCCCCCCAAAAAUAAACACUGCUCCUCUAUUAC
ensembl:processed_transcript